GAAGGCAUCUCAGAUGAAGCUGCUCAAAUAGAGACCGCCACCCAGCAGACCCUGCAUUACACACUGGCCAAUCAACAGGUCCAGUUCCAUCGUAUUGGUGAGGAUGGACAGGUUCAGGUGAUUCCACAGGGACAGCUGCACAUCGCCCAGGUGCCACAAGGCGAAGAGGUGCAGAUCACACAGGACAGUGAGGCAAGUUUUUAUCAGUGCUCGUCUGAUAGAAGUCAAACAACAUCGGACCAAUUUUCCAAACUCGUUUUGUCUGUUAAAUGAUACAAGCACCUCAUCACUGUUUCUUUUUUCAACCCACUCAUAUCUGUUACACCUCAUUCAUGUUUGAGAGGCUGGUUGGAAAUAAAGUUAAUGAUAUCUACAGCUGCCACAUUUUAGAAGCCAGAUUCUUGAGAGUUUGUUAUGGAACUGACUUACAGUAUCCAACUGACUUUUCUGUUUUUGACUAUCUUGUUUUUUUUAUUUAUUUAAGAAAUGUCCUUUUCUUUUUAUGGAAGAUAAAUAUUAAACCCUUCAAGAACUUUGGACAAAUUAUUUUCCCAUAGACAUAGCGCUUCAGUUAUAGAAAUAGCGGGGUUAGACAUUAAUGGUUGUAUAUAGAGUUAUAUGUUGUCAGUGUUGUCCCAUGAAAAGAUAUACUUAAAUACUUGCAGGAAUGUGAGGGGUGUACUCACUUUUGUGAUGCACUGUAAUCUGCCAAUUGCAUUAAAACCUUUUUU